AGAGUGUUGAUCCAGUACUCGGUUUUGGAUGAAAAUUUUAAUUGAACGACAUUUACUGAUUGAGUGAAACUGUUUUAUGGAAAAUACUGAACAUUCGACGCUUUGCCGAGGGACCAAAAUCUGUGAGAUAUUCCGGUCAAACAUCCUGGAAAACAUUGAAAUCACCACUUUUCCGGAAACCUAAAUUUCAUCCAAAAAGCGGCAUGUUAGUGAAUAUGAAAACUCCUGGCAGUCAGCGGAGUACCGACGGGAAUUCGGAUGUUUAACGGUGUAUGGAGGAAUCUUCAAGCAAACAAACCGAGGGGGA